rnacentral:rRNA from 1 species
UGGGGAAUUUUGGACAAUGGGGGCAACCCUGAUCCAGCAAUGCCGCGUGAGUGAAGAAGGCCUUCGGGUUGUAAAGCUCUUUUGUCAGGGAAGAAAAGGCUGUGGCUAAUAUCUACAGCUGCUGACGGUACCUGAAGAAUAAGCACCGGCUAACUACGUGCCAGCAGCCGCGGUAAUACGUAGGGUGCAAGCGUUAAUCGGAAUUACUGGGCGUAAAGCGUGCGCAGGCGGUUUCGUAAGUCUGUCGUGAAAUCCCCGGGCUUAACCUGGGAAUGGCGAUGGAGACUGCGAGGCUAGAGUUUGGCAGAGGGGGGUAGAAUUCCACGUGUAGCAGUGAAAUGCGUAGAGAUGUGGAGGAACACCGAUGGCGAAGGCAGCCCCCUGGGUCAAAACUGACGCUCAUGCACGAAAGCGUGGGGAGCAAACA